GCCAUCCAAAUUGCUGGGCCAUCCAGCAGAGGAUACAGAGGCAAGUCUAGCAGCUGAGAGGGGCAGCCUCUUUGCUUCUGAGCCAACUCACAGAGUGAGGACUCCCUCCUGUUGGCCCCAGCUGCUCACCCAUCCCUGCUACUUAAGCAGCUUCGUCCAGACUGGUUUUGGAUGGAAAACCAGACCCAGAAUUGGAGUAGUCCAGGGAGGAAGUUUCUUGGCAGUUUUCUUUGUCCUGGGACCGUUGUCUCCUGCAUGAGCCACGACUGAAUGCUGAAGACCCAUCAGUAUGGGGAGGGGCCCCGUGCCCACCUCAGCCAGCCCCCCAGUGGGCCCAGCCCCCUGCGGAACGCAGCUGCAUGGAGCCUGGCCAACCCACAGGAUUGUGGAAAAUAAUGACUCCUCGCUUCUUCAGCCAUUCAGUUUGGGCAUAGCCCACCAUACAGCAAUAGAGAACCUACAAUGGGGCCCGUUCAGACAAAUUGUGAAACGUUUGCCCCUCUGCAGCCCUAGGGAAGUAUGGCGAAGAUCUCCCUGGCCUGGCAGGGGAAGGUGCCACAAUCCCUCGUCAGGACAGAGCAACGGGCAAGACGAUCACCCACACCACUAGCCUGUGUGACCGUGGCCCUCGGGAGGUCGGCUGCAGUGUGAGAGCCUCCAUUUGAUGGUUGCGCAAACUGAGAUGCAGAGGGACUUACGCGGAGGCUUGUGAAUGCGGGAGAGCUGCGGCAGAGCUGAGGCUCCCUACCCUCCGGCCACCCCAAGAUCUCCGCGGGGCCUGCGCUGUAAAGGAGCAGGAAUUGCCGCUGAGGACACAGACGAGCUGUUUGAAUGGCGCUUACCUUCCUGGAAAGCAGAUGGCUGGUAUCCAGCCUCCAUCCAAAUGGCAGUCAGCCUGCAAAAGAUGGCAGCACAAACUUGGCCCACUUCCACCCUCCGCCGAAACUUCAUGUGGCUUCUUCAAUUCCAGGGGCAAGGUCUCAAGAAAUCUAAGCCAGAUACUGCUCAACAAACAAGAAAAAAGAAGUAGGAGAAGGAAAGAAAGGAGGUAGAAGGGAAAAGACCCUUAAGUCAAUGUUUUCGUAGAAAUCGCCAAGGCUCUUCUGCUUACACCUCAUUGGGCAGAGCCAUGUCACCUGACCUCUUCUGGCUACAAGGGAGUCCAGAAAGGGGAGGACCCAAGAUGGCGGAACAGCAUGGAAGCUUUUUGUGUGUCUCGCAUCCAUGAAAUACAGCCAGAUCAACACUAAACCAUCCUGCACACCUAGAAAACGAAUCUGAGAAUUAACAAUAUGCACAACUUGAACCACAGAAUUCAGCAGGUCAGCUCUAGUCAAUGUGGGAGAGGACUUCACAAAGCUGUGGCCACCAGGAAGUCAAGACAAUUGUAGGCAAGCCUAGAAAUUAGCUACUGCAUAAAUUUUUUCAAAUUUAUCAGCUAAGAGUAAUUCUGGCCAACCAUUCUUUAAAUAUCUGCUAUAUUUGCAACUGUCUUUCCUGUUACAAUCCUAAAAAUUGUUGGUGUGUGACUUCUUUUUUGCUUGUUUGUUUUUGUUUCUGGAUAAGCCUGUCAGAGAUUUGUUUAUGUUAAGGAAGAAGCUUUUGGAUUUUUUGACAGUCUCCAAUGUAUGGUCAUUACAUAUUUAAUUACCUUGCUAUUUUCUUUAUAUUUUCCCCCUUCUCCUUUCUUUGGUUUGUUCUGUACUGUCUCUAACUUCUUGAAUUUAAUCACUAGAGUAUUUUUUAAUAGUAUUUGUUUCUAAAGUAUGUAUUUAGGUUAUAAAUUUCUCUGUGAAUAUUGUUUUUAGCUGCAGCCCAUAAACUUUGAUAUGCAGUGUUUUCAUUUUCUUUCAGUUCUGAUUAUUUU